AUUCCAGCUCCAAUAGCGUAUAUUAAAGUUGUUGCAGUUAAAAAGCUCGUAGUUGGAUUUGUGGCGGCACCUGCGGUCCGAAUUGUUUUGGUACUGCGUGGUGUUGCCAUCUUUGGGUGGAACCUGUGGGGCAUUAGGUUGUUUUGCAGGGGAUAUCCAUCGUUUACUGUGAAAAAAUUAGAGUGUUCAAAGCAGGCUUACGCCGAUGAAUAUACUAGCAUGGAAUAAUGAAAUAGGACUUUGGUACUAUUUUGUUGGUUUGCGCACCAAAGUAAUGAUUAAUAGGGACAGUUGGGGGUAUUCGUAUUCCAUUGUCAGAGGUGAAAUUCUUGGAUUUUUGGAAGACGAACUACUGCGAAAGCAUUUACCAAGGAUGUU
rnacentral:rRNA from 5 species